ACGAACGCUGGCGGCGUGCCUAAUACAUGCAAGUCGAGCGAAUCGAUGGGAGCUUGCUCCCUGAGAUUAGCGGCGGACGGGUGAGUAACACGUGGGCAACCUGCCUAUAAGACUGGGAUAACUUCGGGAAACCGGAGCUAAUACCGGAUACGUUCUUUUCUCGCAUGAGAGAAGAUGGAAAGACGGUUUACGCUGUCACUUAUAGAUGGGCCCGCGGCGCAUUAGCUAGUUGGUGAGGUAAUGGCUCACCAAGGCGACGAUGCGUAGCCGACCUGAGAGGGUGAUCGGCCACACUGGGACUGAGACACGGCCCAGACUCCUACGGGAGGCAGCAGUAGGGAAUCUUCCGCAAUGGACGAAAGUCUGACGGAGCAACGCCGCGUGAACGAAGAAGGCCUUCGGGUCGUAAAGUUCUGUUGUUAGGGAAGAACAAGUACCAGAGUAACUGCUGGUACCUUGACGGUACCUAACCAGAAAGCCACGGCUAACUACGUGCCAGCAGCCGCGGUAAUACGUAGGUGGCAAGCGUUGUCCGGAAUUAUUGGGCGUAAAGCGCGCGCAGGUGGUUCCUUAAGUCUGAUGUGAAAGCCCACGGCUCAACCGUGGAGGGUCAUUGGAAACUGGGGAACUUGAGUGCAGAAGAGGAAAGUGGAAUUCCAAGUGUAGCGGUGAAAUGCGUAGAGAUUUGGAGGAACACCAGUGGGGAAGGCGACUUUCUGGUCUGUAACU
rnacentral:rRNA from 2 species